rnacentral:misc_RNA from 1 species
GAUGAAGAACGUAGUGAAAUGCGAUACGUAAUGUGAAUUGCAAAUUCAGUGAAUCAUCGAGUCUUUGAACGCACAUUGCGCCCCCUGGUAUUCCGGGGGGCAUGCCUGUCCGAGCGUCAUUGCUGCCCUCAAGCACGGCUUGUGUGUUGGGCCCCGUCCUCCGAUCCCGGGGGACGGGCCCGAAAGGCAGCGGCGGCACCGCGUCCGGUCCUCGAGCGUAUGGGGCUUUGUCACCCGCUCUGUAGGCCCGGCCGGCGCUUGCCGAUCAACCCAAAUUUUUUAUCCAGGUUGACCUCGGAUCAGGUAGGGAUACCCGCUGAACUUAAGCAUAUCAAUAAGCGGAGGA